rnacentral:lncRNA from 1 species
CUGCCUUGGCCUCCCAAGUGCUAGGAUUAUAGGAGCAGCCACUGCGCCCAGCCAGCUGCAUAGAUCUAAACGAAAUAAAACAUCUCUGAUCAGUGGUGGAAGAGACAUGAGAAAUAGGGAACUGGGUGGAAGGCAUAUGAUAAUUUUUUCCAGUGGGGAAAAAAAAUCCCCAUUAGGAUGGCAGGGAAGAGGCAGAGAAGGCUCAUGCAUGGCAUGCUAAAACCUGAGCCAAGGACAGAGAAGCCAAGAAUGCGAGGGGGAAUUCUCGUUUCCUUCCUCACCAACUGCAUCAUCUGCCAACCCCUGCAAAGUGGAGGCAGGGCAGGUGGAAGAGAGACCGAGAAUGCUAAAUCUUCUGCAGCCCUGAGGCUUUUUUUAUGUGUUUUGGUUUUUUUAAAAAAAAAUUAUUUUCCAAGCCUACCCAGGCUGCUGCCUUAGAAAGCCAACUGCAAAGAAAUCACUUUGAUGGGUUUUGUGUUUCUCCACCACCUUUCUAAGCCAAAUUAGAGUGUAGAUUCCUUGUCCUUUUACCCACAAAGCAAAAGCAAAAGAGAUGAUUUUAAAGGAGAGGGUAAGAAAAACAAGUCUACAAUCUAUAUCACCAUUUGUGGCUGGGGUGGGGGUUGCGGGGGGCAAUUCUGCAUGCUGACAUCAUGAUCCAUGGCAUGGGAAAUGACUUCCACCAUUCAAAGCUUUAUUUGCAUUUUUUGGAGGUACAAGGAGACAUUUAAAAUCAGCUCCGGUGUUGACACUGCAAUUAUUAAACCCAAACAAAAGAUUCCUUCCAAAGUCUAACUGGUCCUCUGUAAAUUUAUCUGGGCCCCCACUACCUGAUUUAAGGCAAUGAGCAGAUGUUUCACAGCAGGAAGUGCAUUAGCUCCAGAUGCCGCUUUGUUCAGGAAGUGUGUAUGCACCCACGCACUGGAAACCACACACAAACACAAACACAAACACACGCACACACAAACACACACAGGACCUGGGGCAAUGAACAUUCAUGGCUCCCCUUCCAGCAUUUGGCAUGACCUCGUGGACCAUUUGUAACCUCUGCUUGCGGUUCUGACAGGGAAAUGAGCAGCAGGAGUGAGGAGCCAAUCAAAAGCCGCCUUAUCGUCUUCCCGUUGUCUCCUAGGUAACCGGCAUAGGGACACAUCAGCUAGCUGGGUACCACAGGGGGACACACACACACACACACACGCACACACACAACCAUGCUCCCUUAACAGUCCAUAACUGCAGAAAUGCCGGAUGUGCCUAUCAGCACCCUGGACAGAUCCCCACCCCAACCCAAGACUUCAAAGCCUUUGGUUAACUACGUUGACAGCCUUUUAUCUCCCACAGCUUUCUCACCUCCACCCCCUUACUCAUGCUGUUUCUCUGCCUGGGAUGCCACUCCCUACUACCAUCUCUAUCACCCAAAACUUUGGUCAUUUUCGGAGCUAGCCCAAGCUCUUGGUCUCCCAAGAGCUCCGAGCCCCUCCUUCAAGGGCUCCCAUCACAAUAAGAUCCACACUCCUUUCCCUGGCAGUAAAGGUCCUACACUGAUCUGACUUUCCAUGAUCUGAUUCCUCCAACCUUAUCAUUCUCUCCCUUCCUCUAUUCUUCUUUCUCUUCCUCCAACAGGUCAAACUGUCCUCCCCACACAACCCCCUGAAGACCAGGGCUUUUCUUUAUAUUUGCUGUUCCCUCCGCCUGCCUUGCUUUUCCUUCUGCUCUUGGUGUGGCUGGGCCUUCUCACUCUUUAGUGCCAGCUCAAAGUCACCUUCCAGGGAUGCCUCCCUGAUCAUCCUAGGCCAUCCUGCUAUAGAAGCACCCUCCCGCGGGACUCUCUUCUACAUCACCCUGUAUUCCUGUGUUGUCUUCAUAUCACUGAUGACUCUCUGAAACUCUCCAUUCACAUUUAUUUGUUCACUUGUUCUUUGUCUCCCCCUCUAGAAUGUAAACUCUGUUUCACAGGGUCUUUUUCUUGUUCACAGUUUUAUCCCCCAAUACCCAGAACAAGGCCCAGUAAAUAUUUGUUGCAUGAAUGAAAAGUUGUUUCCUUCUUGCUGCAUCUAUGUUUCCCCCAUCUCUCUAAUAAGGGUUGGAUCUGAUGACUUCUAUAACACUUCUGGCUAACAUUCCAAGGGUCUAUUAGAGACAGAAAGGGCCAGCAUAAGGAGGGAAAUUAAUCAGGCCACACCACAGGAAGAAUCUGCUGGUGGAAAUCUGACCUUCUCAACUGGGUCGCAGCGCCUUCCUCCUCUGAGCAGUCUCCCUGAUAGGAAUUUGCUGCCGCCCUCAACUCCACACUCCCUAAGCACUGGGCACCUUGAACUUUUGUUAUCUGAGGGAUUGGGGGCAACUUGAGGCUAAGGACUGGCUUUUAUUUUUCUGAUUGUGCACAGAGGCCAGCCAGAGCCUGGGGAGGGGGAGUUGGAAAGGGGUCCUCUGGAAGCAUUUGCUGCAAUAAAAGAAAGAAAAUGUCAAGGGGGAGGGUCAUUGAAGCACAAGUCUCUCUCUCUCUCUCUCUCUCUGUGUGUGUGUGUGUGUGUGUGUGUGUUUGUGUGUGUGUGUGUGUCAGCUCCAGCUGGUCUCUGCACAAUCAGAAAAAUAAAAGCCUGUCCUUAGCUUCAAGUUACCCCCAAUCCCUCAGAUAACAGAAGUUCAAGGUGCCCAGUGCUUGGGAAGUGUGGAUCACACACAAACACAGUCACACACACACAGACACACAUACACACACAACUCAAAAACGUAAUAAAGCAAGAAUCACAGAGUAUCCCAAUCCCAGCAGCUACAUGUGUCUCUCUUCAAGGAAGAUGACUGCUGUUUAAGAUUCUAAACCCUGUGUGAGUGAUUCUGACACAUGUGCUAUGUAAGUCUGUGGUGUGUCUUGUCCAUUCUCACUGGGCAACAGUAGGCCAUGAAUUCAAGUAGCCACAUGGUAGACACAAACCUACUGGAUCCCCUCAAACCCUAGCAGUGGAACAUCUCAAGCUGGCCACUCAUGACCCAGAAAUCCACCCUGAGCCCUGAGUUCUCCUCUGACCAACGAGCCCAACAAUGCAUCAGAUCAUUUCUCCAAAUCUGAAGUUAAAUCAGAUAUAAUAAUCAAGAAAGGGAGAACAGAACUGGCAUUUCUUAAGCACCUAUUACGUGCUGGUUCCUGUGCUAGGAUAUGUUAGCAUUGACUCUUUCUGACCACCCCGCGAGGCUGCCCCUCCAACUUUACAGGUGAAAGCAACUGAAGCUCAGAAAAAUUAAGUAGUUUCCCCAAGGUCACAUAGUUAGUAAUCAGAGGGACUUAAGAAGGACAUGAGUCUGGUCUUCAAGCCCACUCCUCUUUGUUGAGGCCUUAAAUUAUACAACGUGUAGGCAGAUGAGCUGGUCUUGUUCAAAACAUCCCUCCCGCUGGCUGGGGCCCCUCUCUGAGAGAUGCCAGGUGGAUGGCCCUGUCCCUGCAUCUAUCCCUGUCACUCCUGGGCCUGGCUGACCUCUCCCCACAACCUCUUGUCAAGCAGGACUCACAUCUCCAAACCUCUCAUGUGAGACCCAGCCCACGGGGACUAAUUUUCCUGUGGCCCAGAGAAAGCCGGAGAUUUUGCCUUUUUAAAAUAGUAAUUUCCUGCCAGCGCGGGUGGAUACACCAGCCACCCUCUGAUUUAGUGCGGAGCUCAAGGAUCAAUCCCAACUCAGAUUUUCCAAGGAAAAUUCAAAUGUGGGGCACCUCCUGGCAUUGAGGAAGGCAUUGGCCUUCUCUCAAGAGAUGUGUUCAGUGUGGGCAAAGCCAUUGUUGGUGUCACAAGACUCUCAUGCCUCAUACAUGUCACACACAUGCCUUGUACACACCCACAUGCAUCUCAAACAUGCCACCCACAUAGACACACCAUCCACCCGCCUCACCCAUCUCUCUCUCUCACACACACACACACACACACACACGAACACACACACGAGGCAGGGGGUGUCAAGAGCAAGAGAGCUACAUAGUCCCUCUCAGGACAUUACAGCCCCCACUUCCAAGCCUGUUCUGGACUGUGUGCUUUGCCAGGGUGCCUCAUUUCAUCCUUCCUAGGGCCCCAACAGGACAGGUUGCCCCCCACCCCUUUAAAGAGGCAGAAAGUGAGCCUGAGAGAGGCUUGUCCAAGAUCACAGGGCAUGCUCAGACGAAAGUUAGUGGUGGGCACCUGGCUCUGCGAGAUUUCCUUCUUAAUUAGCCCUGCUCCUUGGGGGCAGCUCCGUUGAGUAGAGGCACUCCUCCAAGACACCGCCCCCCUCCUUAUUGGCAGCCCUUCUCCCCUGCCUCCUCCCUCAAUCUCAAGGAAGGAAACCUAGGCACCCUCUCUACCCUAAAGCUGCUCCAUCCGCACCAACUCAGGUCAGGCGAGGAGUGGAGGGUCUGCUCCCUCGCUGGGCACACCUAUAGGCCCACCAGGGUCUGAGGCACUGGCUAAGGCUUAAUGGCUGUCUAAGCAAGACCCUCCACGGGCUCUGCCUGCAACCCCUCACAACCCAGGAUCUCAGUGGGGCCGAGAAGACAGACCCUACUUGGCCCUGGGACAGGACAGGAGGGGCAGGGACCAGCUCUCUCCGUCUUCCUCCACCCUACCCCAAGUCCCACACAGGAGCUCUGGGCCUGGGCUGGAAAUGGAAACUUUCCCACUAGACUGAGAGAGGCCCAACCUGGGGGGCAGACUGGAAGAAGGUGGGAGGCCUGGAAACUACUAAAAGCUUGCGGGUCACAUAGAUUUAGGUUCCCGGGCAGCUCUACCACCUGCUGGCUGUGUGACCUUGGGCAAGGGGCUUUACCUCUUUGAGGCUCAGUGUCCUUAUCUGCAAAGCGAAAGAAAAAUAGCGCCCUCCUAAGGGGGUGAUUGUGAAGGUCAAAGGCAGGGGCGAUGUGCACAGUCUGCGGGGCCUCGAAGUCAGCCAUUAUGCCCCCCAAAGUGAGCAGCGGGUGAGCAGCCACCACUGUGACCUCACCCUGCCCCCGACUCCCAGUUCUGAAAAUUCUUCAUUAGCACCAAAUCCAAACUUUUCCUCAGCAGUGGCAGGACCCAGGCGCGGGUCCUCCUUCCUCCUCCCGCCCCCUCGCGGUCAGACAACAGACCCCCCAUCUGCAAACUAGGGAUCAUCAUAAUGCCCUAACAGGGCUGAGUAGAGUUGACCCAGCUGCUUGUGUUCCAAAAGAGAGUUCAGCAGUGGAAUCCCAGGCAUCUUCAUACCGUCAGUGAAGCCAUCCGAACUUUGGCAUGCAGAAGUUCCACUUUCGUAACGAAGGGAAUUAUCUCAGGUCCCCAAUAAUCCUUCAAGGUCUACCUGGAGAAAAUGUUGAGCAUUAGAAAGAGCAAAAGCUUCGGAGUCGCCCAGCUGCAGAUCCAAAUCCCAGCUCCCAGCUCCACUGUUCCAUUCAUUCGCUCGCUGGGUAUUUGUUGAACAUCUGCUACAUAGGAGGCACUGUACUUUGUGUUGAGUACAUCAUUGAUUUGGAUGAAAAUCCUUGCUGUCACAGAGCUCACAUCCUAAUGGAACAUUUUAUUUGCUACUUGACCUCAGGCAAGUCAUUGCACCUCUCCAAGCCUCAGUUUAUCCAUCUUUAAAGUGGGACUUGUAACCCCCAACCUUGCAAUGUGGCUGAGAUACAAGCAGGUAAGGGGCCUGAGACAUUCGAUGAAAGGCAUCCCAGGCACCUAGAGCUGGAAGGAACCUCGUUCCAAGAUGAUUCUGCAGCUGUUGCCAAAUGCAGAUGAGACAGGGGCUGCAACAUGGUUCAUCCAAGGCCACUCAGUGAGGUGGGGCAGAGCAAGAAUGGCGGCCCAGGUGCCCUCUCCUGUCCUGCUUCCCUUGAGUCUGAUGCUCUCUGUGUGGUCCAGUCAGGGCUGAGAAGUGAAAGGAAAUAGAGGCUGCCCUUCACCUCCCCUCCAGCUCCUGAAGCUGGAAGCUGCCUCUUCUCCUCUCACAUCACCACCAGGCAAUCAUGGGGAAAGCAUAGCCUGACUACCUUUUGGAAACAGCAGCCUCUAGUGUCUGGGCCAGAACAAGGGCUCAGGAGGAGCCCCAGGCAGCCCAGCUUUUGAGUCGGAUGGAAAUUACUAUUCUCUAAAUAUCAGUUCAGCCACAGUUAUUCAGGGAAGAGGCCCAGCACAGAUUGGGGAGGGUGAGGAGGAUGCGGGGAACAGAAUUAGCUUCUCUGUUGUCAGCCCCUGCAGUUUAGCUCUGACAGCAAACCUGCACAUUUUACUCAGCAAAACCAAGGCCCGAUCCCUGCCUCGCCCUCUUGUUGGCAGUCCAUGCAGUGGACCUGCUCUCAAAGAUCUCACCCUUCCUCAGGCUGCAGGGCCUCACCCAACCACGAUUCCUUUUAACCCACAGAAGACUUUAUGCCGAGGAGUCCUGGAAUAUCUCCUUUUCUCCAUCUUGGGACAUCUGUGGGGCGGUUUUUCCCCCUCUAGAUGGGGGCAUCAAAAACUGCCUUGCUUUCCUGACCUUAACCCAUCUCAGUGCCCAUGGGGUUGCGCUAAACAUCUCCAGAGAAAUGUCUUUAAAUAAACAGAUUUCAUACUUGAGAGGAGACCAGAAAUGUCUAAAACCAUCUCUGUUUACUCUCUCACAUUUGUGAGGUUUGUUUGUUUGUUUGUUUAUUUGUUUGUUUUAAAGCCAAUCAUGGUCUUUUCUUCAAAAACCAUGAAAGAAGAAAGGAUGCUAACAGCUCCAUUUCACAGAUGGCAAAACUGAGGCUGAACAUGGGAAAGUGACUUGUUGGAGGCUCUGUGGUUAAGAAAGAUGUGUAUCUCUCUCUCUCUUUUUUUUUCUCA